rnacentral:lncRNA from 1 species
GUUGGUUAGAUGGGAAAAUACCAGAAGGGGAAAAAUUAGAAGUAUUGAGAGACUUAACAGUAUCUUUGGUUGGGUGCGAAUGAAGACUGAUAAGGAUGCUAGGGAAAUGAUGUUCGGUCGAGACGACAUCAAUUUGAUUGUUGUAAUCAGUUAGAAUUAUUUCUGUUUUCAGAUAGCUUAUUUUGUACUGAUGUUUGUUGUGAACCUCGUUGUAACAAAAACUUAAUGAUAUAUAAUGAUUGAAGGUUACAGAAAU